rnacentral:rRNA from 1 species
UACGGGGGGGGUAAGCGUUGUUCGGAAUUACUGGGCGUAAAGGGCUCGUAGGCGGCCAACUAAGUCAGACGUGAAAUCCCUCAGCUUAACUGGGGAACUGCGUCUGAUACUGGAUGGCUUGGAUUUGGGAGAGGGAUGCGGAAUUCCAGGUGUAGCGGUGAAAUGCGCAGAUAUCAGGAGGAACACCGGUGGCGAAGGCGGUUCUCUGGGCAUUACCUGACGCUGAGGAGCGAAAGUGUGGGGAGCGAACAGG